rnacentral:rRNA from 1 species
UACGUAGGGUGCAAGCGUUGUCCGGAAUUAUUGGGCGUAAAGAGCUCGUAGGCGGUUUGUUGCGUCGGCUGUGAAAUCCCGAGGCUCAACCUCGGGUCUGCAGUCGAUACGAGCAAACUAGAGUGUUGCAGGGGAGACUGGAAUUCCUGGUGUAGCGGUGAAAUGCGCGGAUAUCAGGAGGAACACCGGUGGCGAAGGCGGGUCUCUGGGCAACAACUGACGCUGAGGAGCGAAAGCGUGGGGAGCGAACGGG